rnacentral:lncRNA from 1 species
UGAGCUUUUCCAUACAGUCAGCAUUAGGGUUUUAAACUCUAAACUGAAUUUUUCCUUUAGUCAGCAUUAGGGUUUUAAACCCUAAACUGAACUUUUUUCCAUUCAGCCAGCAUUAGGGUUUUAAACCCUAAACUGAGCUUUUUCUUUCAGUCAGCACUAGGGUUUUAAACCCUAAACUGAAUUUUUCCUUUAGUCAGCAUUAGGGUUUUAAGCCCUAAACUGAACUUUUUUCCAUUCAGCCAGCAUUAGGGUUUUAAACCCUAAACUGAGCUUUUCCAUACAGUCAGCAUUAGGGUUUUUAACCCUAAACUGAAUUUUUCCUUUAGUCAGCAUUAGGGUUUUAAACCGUAAACUGAACUUUUUUCCAUUCAGCCAGCAUUAGGGUUUUAAACCCUAAACUGAGCUUUUCCAUGCAGUCAGCAUUAGGGUUUUAAACCCUAAACUGAAUUUUUCCUUUAGUCAGCAUUAGGGUUUUAAACCCUAAACUGAACUUUUUUCCAUUCAGCCAGCAUUAGGGUUUUAAACCCUAAACUGAGCUUUUCCAUGCAAUCAGCAUUAAGGUUUUUAACCCUAAACUGAACUUUUUUCCAUUCAGCCAGCAUUAGGGUUUUAAACCCUAAACUAAGCUUUUCCAUGCAAUCAGCAUUAGGGUUUUAAACCCUAAAUUGAA